rnacentral:rRNA from 1 species
UAGUCCACGCCCUAAACGAUGUCGACUAGCUGUUGGGUUCAUAAAAGAACUUAGUGGCGCAGCUAACGCGUUAAGUCGACCGCCUGGGGAGUACGGCCGCAAGGCUAAAACUCAAAGGAAUUGACGGGGGCCCGCACAAGCGGUGGAGCAUGUGGUUUAAUUCGAUGCAACGCGAAGAACCUUACCAGGUCUUGACAUCCUGAGAACUUUCUAGAGAUAGAUUGGUGCCUUCGGGAACUCAGAGACAGGUGCUGCGUGGUUGUCGUCAGCUCGUGCCGUGAGGUGUUGGCUUAAGUGCCGCAACGAGCGCAACCCCUAUUGUUAGUUGCCAGCGAGUAAUGUCGGGGACUCUAACAAGACUGCCGGCGUAAGCCGCGAGGAAGGUGGGGACGACGUCAAAUCAUCAUGGCCUUUAUGCCUAGGGCUACACACGUGCUACAAUGGGUGAGACAGAGGGUUGCCAAGCCGCGAGGUGGAGCUAAUCUCAGAAACUCACUCCCAGUUCGG